rnacentral:rRNA from 1 species
CCUACGGGCGGCAGCAGUGAGGAAUAUUGGUCAAUGGGCGUAAGCCUGAACCAGCCAAGUCGCGUGAAGGAUGAAGGUUCUAUGGAUCGUAAACCUCUUUUAUAAGGGAAUAAAGUGCGGGACGUGUCCCGUUUUGUAUGUACCUUAUGAAUAAGGAUCGGCUAACUCCGUGCCAGCAGCCGCGGUAAUACGGAGGAUCCGAGCGUUAUCCGGAUUUAUUGGGUUUAAAGGGAGCGUAGGCGGCCUGUUAAGUCAGUGGUGAAAGUCUGUGGCUCAACCGUAGAAUUGCCGUUGAUACUGGGAGGCUUGAGUACAUUUGAGGUAGGCGGAAUUCGUGGUGUAGCGGUGAAAUGCUUAGAUAUCACGCAGAACUCCGAUUGCGAAGGCAGCCUGCCAAGCCAUGACUGACGUUGAUGCACGAAAGCGUGGGGAUCAAACAGGAUUAGAUACCCUAGUAGUC